rnacentral:rRNA from 1 species
UACGUAGGGUGCAAGCGUUAAUCUGAAUUACUGGGCGUAAAGCGUGCGCAGGCGGUUCGCUAAGGCAGAUGUGAAAUCCCCGGGCUUAACCUGGGAACUGCAUUUGUGACUGGCGGGCUAGAGUAUGGCAGAGGGGGGUAGAAUUCCACGUGUAGCAGUGAAAUGCGUAGAGAUGUGGAGGAAUACCGAUGGCGAAGGCAGCCCCCUGGGCCAAUACUGACACUCAUACACGAAAGCGUGGGGAUCAAACAGG